GUUAUAAUUCUAGCCUACAAACGAACAAACACCUACUAAACCCCUAAACAAACCAUUUAACUAAAUAGUAUGGGCGAUAGAAAUUUAUAAUUGAGCAAUAGAAAAAGUACUGCAAAGGAAAGAUGAAAUAAAAAUUAAAUAAAUAACAAAAACAAAUAAAAGAAAAGACUAAAACUUGUACCUUUUGCAUAAUGGUCUAGCAAGUUAAACCUGACAAAAAGAAAUAAAGUUAGCCCCCCCGAAACUAGACGAGCUACUCAAAAGCAGCAUACUAGAGCCAACCCCUCUCUGUGGCAAAAGAGUGGGAUGACUUCUGAGUAGAGGUGAUAAGCCUAACGAGCCUAGUGAUAGCUGGUUGCUUGAGAAAUGAAUCUUAGUUCAGCUUAAAGUGCCUUUAAAUUAAUAAAAAAUUAAAAUAGCACCUUAAAGUUACUUAAUAGAGGUACAGCUCUAUUAAUAAAGGACACAACCUACAACAUAAAUAAAGAUUAUAUUAAUUAAAGAAAUUAGCCACGUAGGCUUAAAAGCAGCCACCACAAGAAAGCGUCAAAGCUCAACUUAAUAAUACCUUAUUAUCCUAAUAAAAAAAUCUAAAUUUACAAAAUAUAUCAAGCCUAUCUAUACAAUAGAUGAGUUUAUACUAGAAUGAGUAAUAAGACCCUCCUCUCUUUAUAUGCAUGUGUAAAUCAGAACGAAAAAAUCACUGAUAAAUAACGAUUAACUAUACCACACAACAAGAAAAAUAAAUUUAGCCUACCGUUAACCCAACACAGGAGCAUAAAAGAAAGAUUAAAAGAUUAAAAAGGAACUCGGCAACCAAGAACUUCGCCUGUUUACCAAAAACAUCGCCUCUUGCAAUACAAAGUAUAAGAGGUCCCGCCUGCCCAGUGACAAUUUCAACGGCCGCGGUAUCAUGACCGUGCAAAGGUAGCGUAAUCACUUGUCUUUUAAAUAAAGACCUGUAUGAAAGGCAAAACGAAAGUUCAACUGUCUCUUUAAUCUAAUCAAUGAAAUUAAUCUUUCCGUGCAGAAGCGGAAAUAAAAAUAUAAGACGAGAAGACCCUAUGGAGCUUUAAAUAUAAAAUUAACUAUACCACUAAACGACAAAUCCACGGAUAAAAUAAAACAUUAGUUAUAAUUUGAAUUUUCGGUUGGGGCGACCACGGAGAAAAAACAAUCCUCCGAGAUAAAAAUUUAGAAUUACACUUCAAAAAUUAAAACAUUUAUUAUAAAUGAUCCACUAAGUGACCAACGAACCAAGUUACCCUAGGGAUAACAGCGCAAUCCUUUCUAAGAGUCCAUAUCGACGAAUGGGUUUACGACCUCGAUGUUGGAUCAGGACAUCCUAAUGGUGCAGCCGCUAUUAAAGGUUCGUUUGUUCAACGAUUAAAGUCCUACGUGAUCUGAGUUCAGACCGGAGAAAUCCAGGUCAGUUUCUAUCUAUAAAAAAUUUUUUCUAGUACGAAAGGACCGAAAAAAUAGAGCCUCUUGAAAACAAAGCUCUUAUAUUAUUGAAAACAAAUAAAAUAAUACAUAAAAUACACCUCUAGUACAGAGCAA
rnacentral:rRNA from 1 species